rnacentral:lncRNA from 10 species
UGGCUCACUGCAGCAUCAACCUCCUGAGCCCAAGCAAUCCUCCCACCUCAGCCUCUUGAGUAGCUGGGACUAUAGGUGCACUACACCUGGCUAAUUUUUGUAUGUUUUGUGGAGACGGGGUCCCACUAUGUUGCCUAGGCUGGUCUCCAACUCCUGGGCUCAAGGGAUCCUCUCACCUUGGCCUCCAAAGUGCUGGGAUUAUAGGUAUGAACCACUGUAUGCAGCCCAUCUGUUGUAUUUAGGUCUUUGGUGCAUUUGAGUUAAUUUUUGCAUGUGAUGUAAGAUGAGCAUACUGAAGCCCAGAGACAUUAAGUAACUAGGCUCAUUAGUAGUGACAGUGAUGUUGCCACCAAACUGUAAAGCCAGGAUUUGGACUCAGGCAAGUGACCCCACAGUUGUGUUCUUGAGUGCUCCACCGCAGCAUCACUACAGGAAGUGGACUAGAUUCUCAUGGGCCUUCAGGAUGAUGAAGAAUUCUGGACGAUUUACAGUGGAAAAUCAGGAUUACUGUGGUUUUUGCCUGCUCCUCCCUGUUCUUCCUUCUUUGUUGUUUAGACAAAUUCUAAACGACAGACCUUCAGCUCUCAAAUGCUAGAACCUUGACGAAGAUUUAUAGCCUAUUCUCUUUAGAGUGCCACUUUUCCUUCCUUUCUUAACUGGACUAUGAAUGGCUCUUAUCUACUUUUGUUCUUUUAUUUUUUUCACAUUUUACUCCAAUUUCCUAGAAUAAAUUCAUAAAUAAUUGGAAGCUGGUUUGGAGACACAGCAAUAAAUUUUUUUAAAUGAUGCUUUGUAGUAGCGACUUAGGCAUUUUCCUUAUUAUGGAUAUGUCUGGACUGUACAAGGAUCUCUUUGUAUAACCAACCUCAAUAAACUGAUGGAUGGAACAGAGGCUUCAUUU